GAUGUCAAUCAAACUUUGUCCCCAAAUAAAAUCUCUUGGUAGAGAUUUCCAACAAAAUAUCAUGAGAUUCUUAUAAAAAAUAUGAAGAGAUUUUUUAAUAAUAUAUUGUCCAAGAUAUGGCAACAUUACAAAGUGAAAUGAAAUAUGAUUAUUGAGGCAGUAGUAUAACAUCGUAUUUUGCCAGAUGUUGUGAGUAGCUAUAUUCUAAUUCUCUCCUUGGUCAUAUCAGUAUCACAAGCUUGCAGACCUGGGCUGAAGUAACAUUAUUUGAAGAUACGGGUUCAACAAAAUUCAGUAGCUUAAGCUUAAAGCUUGUUAUAUUAAGAAAUUUUGUUAACAUAUAUAAUUAAUGUAUCUCAAAUCCACUAAGAGAAAAAGGCUUGCCAUUCAGUAUUCAUCAUGAAUCACCCAAUUAUUGGAUAAGCAUUCUCUUUGAUCCUCAAUCGUAUCUAUUCUAUCAAACUGUGAGUUUUGGGUAAUACUUUACCGAAAAAUGAUGUGUUUGAUAUUUAAGAAAAU
rnacentral:lncRNA from 1 species